GCAUGGCUCCCCCUCCCCCGUAACGUCACGAGCGACUCGAGGGUCCUGCGCCCUGGCGGCCGGGUGCAGAACUUCCCCGCCGGGACGCACCGCACCGACACCGACGCGGACGCCUGCAAGACGGAAAAGAAGACGGACGCGCGUGUUGUAUCCCAAAAGCGUUUAAUCUGAUUCUUUUUCCAAAAUUGAAGAGCCGCAAAAUCGUAUUAUUUGUGUUGUGAUCAUGGACGAACUGACCCGGCACAACUUGGGGUAUGGAGAAAUGUAUUCCACUGUUCGCAGGAAUCUGAUCCGGAUGGUUCUGAGACCCAAGGCCAGAGUGGUUCUGAGACCCAAUUUUCUGACGCCCACAGCCAGAGGAGUUCUGAGAGCCAGUCUUCUGGGGCCCAAGACGAGGAAACUAGUGGCCCAGACAUAAGUUCCCGGAACAUUGAAGGAACCGAAGACAGCAACCCACUUUGAGUAAACAAUAGAAAGAGGAAGGCUGCUCAGUCAUUAGACGAAAACACAAGAGGUCCGGAAACAUCACCUACGUCGAAUUCACAAUCUUCGUUUGUGGAGCAGGUCCUCAAUUGGGACAAGAGCAGAGGUGACAGGGUCACAGCCAACUAUUUUGGGCCUAACGGAAAGAGAAAACCACAGAGCAAUCAGUUCCUGGAUGCCACUCGUCAAAACAUCCCUGUGGAUUUGAUCAUUCGUUAUGAGUUUAGGGGGGGACUGCAAUGCUGACUUGUCUCCACACAGACUGAUCCAAAUCGCUGACUGCAUUUUCGAGCAUUUUACAAACGAAAAAAAGGGAAAGAGAGAACCACCGAGCUAACAGUUUCCUGGAUGCCACUCCACUCGUCAAAACAUCCCUGUGGAUUUGAUCAUUCGUUAUGAGUUUAGGGGGACUGCAAUGCUUACUUGUCUCCAAACUGACUGAUUUAAUUUGCUGGCUGCAUUUUGGAGCAUUUUCCAAACGAAAAAAGGGGUGAUUACUACAUUCCCUACAAAGCCAUCAGAGUGGACAAUAUAGUGUUUCGGAAGAAUCCUGCAAAUCGCAAACUGCAUCAUAAGUACCAGAAUCACGUGAAAGAUGUGAUCUCAGAUGGAACUCGAGACAGACGCAGAAAUAAUAAUAACUGAAGUACAUUUUUGAAAUGAAUUGUUUUUAAAUGUGUUACGUGUGUGUUUGUCAUUACUGUUUCUUACGUGUUAAAUUUGUUCAUAAUUUACAUAAGUUCCUGCGUUACCAUUAUCUUAUUUGUAUAAUUUUUCUCAUAGCGUGUAGGAUGUAGAUCUUGAAUGAUAAUCUUUCAUUUUUUAAAAGAGUUCCUGUGUGUUCAUCAUAAUUAUUUCUUUUGUAUUCAAAUUGUACAUAAUUUCCACAAGUUCGCACGUUGCCAUUGUCUUAUUUGUAUGAAUAUUCU